UGUAAGCGUAUACCAAAGUUGUUGCAGUUAAAACGCUCGUAGUCGGAAUUUGGCAGUUCCGGAUGUGUGCACGUCGUGUGCGCACUUCGCGGGGAUUGCUUUUGUGGUCUUGCGUAGGAUGAGGCACUUUUAUUAGUGAACGUCCUCACGCAACCACUCUUUACUGUGAGAAAAUCAGAGUGCUCAAAGCAGGCAUUUGCCGUGAAUGUAUUAGCAUGGAAUAAUAGAAUAGGACUUGGUUCUAUUUUGUUGGUUUGUUGGGACUGAGUAAUGAUUAAGAGGGACGGUUGGGGGCAUUUGUAUUUCGGUGCUAGAGGUGAAAUUCUUAGAUUACCGAAAGACAAACUGCUGCGAAAGCGUCUGCCAAGGAUGUUUUCAUUGA
rnacentral:rRNA from 1 species